rnacentral:rRNA from 1 species
AUUGAACGCUGGCGGCAGGCCUAACACAUGCAAGUCGAACGAGUGGCGGACGGGUGAGUAAUGUCUGGGAAACUGCCUGAUGGAGGGGGAUAACUACUGGAAACGGUAGCUAAUACCGCAUACCCUCAGAUGUGCCCAGAUGGGAUGAGCUAGUAGGUGGGGUAAGGGCUCACCUAGGCGACGAUCCCUAGCUGGUCUGAGAGGAUGACCAGCCACACUGGAACGGAGACACGGUCCAGACUCCUACGGGAGGCAGCAGUGGGGAAUAUUGCACAAUGGGCGCAAGCCUGAUGCAGCCAUGCCGCGUGGAUGAAGAAGGCCUUCGGGUUGUAAAGUACUUUCAGCGGGGAGGCGUUACCCGCAGAAGAAGCACCGGCUAACUACGUGCCAGCAGCCGCGGUAAUAC